rnacentral:rRNA from 1 species
CUAAGUGGCGGACGGGUGGGUAAUGUAUAGUUAAUCUGCCCUUUAGAGGGGGAUAACAGUUGGAAACGACUGCUAAUACCCCAUACUCCUUUUACAUUAAUUGUAAUUGGGAAACGUUUUUUCGCUAAAGGAUGAGACUAUAUGGUAUCAGGUAGUUGGUGGGGUAAGAGCCCACCAAGCCAAUGACGCCUAGCUGGUCUGAGAGGAUGAUCAGCCACACUGGAACUGAGACACGGUCCAG